GCGCCUCGGAAGCGGGAGCAACAAAUGGUGCCCCGUGUGAGGAAGAAUCGGUCCGUCGCUCCCCGAUGUCCCCAGAGGCAGGUGUUGCCUGAGAUCCGGUGAGGGAUCUGCUCCUGGCCAGAGGAGGAUGGAGUUAGUCAUAAAGGUAUUUUUGCAAUUGGGGGUACUGAGGAGAGUCCGGGGGAGAGCCGACAGGGUGUUAACGCUCCUCGGGAUAAUGGACAAACGGGGAGCGGAGAGGGGGCGGGAAGCGUUGUAACCUGCAGAUGCUCGAACAACACUAUUCAACCACCGCCGACUGCACCGACCAUGCCGGCUGGAGGAGGAGGAGAUGGCGACCGUUUCCUGACCCACCCCUCGCCACCAUAUCCGGUCCGGCCGACUCGACCCGGAUAUUUUUUUACGGAGUUGAGGGCGCAUGUGACCGAUCAGGGGUCUCCAUAGCAGGUCUGGCUCCUGUGGAGGCCUAAACCACAGACAGAGGAGACAAGAGAACAAAAAAAGGAGCCGCUCCUGAAAGCUCCUGCUAAGACUGCAGCGCCUGCUAAGUAUGCAACACUUUUGCUUUUGCUUGUAGUAUUGGCAAUAGGUACUGUUCAGGCCUGGGAAAGCAACGGGUAUGUCAACAUUAUGCAGGUAAUGGCCCAGCGUUUCAAUUUAUCAGACUGUUGGAUUUGUACUGCCUUAACGAGGGGAGGGAUGGUGGAAUUCCCCUUGCUAGGAGUUCCAAUGCCAUUCAGAAACUGGAGCUGGCCAUGGGACAUGGUGCAAGUACAGUGCAUGGGGCAUGGCGAAAGUUUGUAUUGGUCUGUGCGGGCUUCGUGUGGUCCAGGGGGGCAUGCAUCCCUGCUCCCUAGCGGGGAAACGUUAUGCUGGAGUUUUCAGGACCCCUUGCCCUCUCGACUGUCCAUGGUCGUGAAACCAGAUGUAGCUUGUUAUCUGAAUAUAGCUCUCUGAGGUUUGAGAUGCUAUCCCCAUGGCCGAAUGAUACUGUUGUCCUGGCGCAGAAUGGCAGCUACAGUGUGGGUCAUUUUUCAGCAGUGAAUGUUUCUUGGUGCCCAGGCUCAGAGCACUGCCCUAGGCCAGUAGUGGUGGCCUUGAGCAAUCCUGGCAGUACCCCACUGGGAUGUCCUCCCAAAGGUCUAUGGUGGCUGUGUGGGGAUGGCCGGGCAAGGAAAAGCGUACCAUCUGAUUGGAGUGGCUCUUGCACGUUGGGAGCCCUCAUUCCGAACAUUGUCUGGCAUAACUGAUUGGCACCUCCUCCUGGAAUCCUACGAACACAUUGGAGAAGAGUGCGGAGGGUUCUGAACCCUUUAGUGGAGAAACCUACUGGUUUCCACAGUUUUGACUAGAUGAUUCAUCUCAUCUUUGGGGGUGAGUGAGUUAGAGAAAGCGAUUGUUAACAUUUCAGCCACCUUGGAAAUAAUAGAAAAUGCCACCAUUGAUGCAAUCAGGACAUUACAAGGAGAAGUCUCUACACUUAACAAGGUGGUAUUACCGAAUAGGAUGGCAUUAGACCUCUUAACGGCCAAAGAAGGAGGAGUCUGUGUGGUAAUAAACCAAAGCUGCUGUGCCUAUGUCGAUAAGACUUGGAGGGUAGAGACGGACAUACAAGCAAUAUGGGAACGGACUAAAUUACUCCAUCAAAUGUCCAUGGAUGAUACUUCAUUUGGAUUCCGGGACUUAUGGGAGAAGCUCACAAGUUGGUUACCUGACUUCACAUGGCUGAAGCAACUCUUCAUUGUUUGUGUCAUCAUAAUGAUUGUACUUAUAUUAAUGUGCAUCACUAUGCGAUGUAUGUUGUGCCUAUGUAUAAAUUCUGGGAAGGGCUAUGGAAAACGGAAAAAACUCAGGUUAUGGCAACAACUAAGGUACUUAUAGUUGCCUUGCCUGUAAUUGUACUAUAUGUUAUAUAAUAGCCAUAUGCUGUAGCAAGUAGACUGGCUUAAAAGACCCAACAUAGCUUACCAUCCCCUCCGCAUCCUAGACUGGCGAUCUCAGUGGGUGUUGGUUAAGAAAUUGCACUCACUGUAACGGGGCAAGGCUUUACUGAGCAUGGGGAGGGGGAAAUGUUGCAGUAGGCGUUAACGGGGACUUGGGAUGUGACGCGAUAGGACCUCCCCUGCUCUGUGAUUUAAAUAUGAUGCAUGCUUAGGGGGUGUAGACUAGGCAAGGUGUGUAUUUAAGGAGCUGCCACGCUGUAAUAAACACCAUUUGCUAUAUCCCCAUAUUGUUGUCUGUGUAGCAAUGGCCCUAGCGAGGGUAGAUUGCUACCCCCCGGUGGAGUGUGCCUCGGAAGUGGGAACAACAGGGCAGGGAGGAUGAGCAGGGAAGGUCUUCCCUUCAUUGUCAUUCAGGCUGGGUCCCAGGAUGUUGCAAUGAGGAAACUAAAGAAUGUUAAAAAGGACUUUGCAUCCCUUGGAAAUAUGUUGAAGGGGUCAGGGGUGCAGGUAGUGUUCUCCUCUGUCCUUCUGAACAGGUAGCUGGGACCCAGAAAGAUGAAGGAGAAUGUGUCAGGUAAAUUACUGGCUGGGGGGGGUGGUGUUUUGAUCAAGGCUUUAGGUAUUUUGAUCUUAGGCAGUCCUUUGAGAAACUG
ensembl:lncRNA